rnacentral:sRNA from 1 species
UACGGUUUAAAACACCUCCAUUUUCUCAUCUAUCGUCUGCAAAAGUUACUUGUGAAGGGCUACCCUCAACUGUCUCAUUCUAGAUCCUGAAAAUGAUUAACUAGAGUUCAAGGGCCUCCAAUCUAUUUCUUCUUCUUGGAUUUGCUUCCCUCAGCGAAACAAACCUCCAGCCACUCAUCCAUGUUGGCAUCAGUAGUUCCAGUUCCCAGUUCCACCUUGGGGGCCUUCUUUGUUUUCUACGAGAGCUGUUGUACUUGACCAUAUGCCCACAAUCCGAAGAGACCAAGAAGGGCAACUCCAAGGGUAAUAAGGAACACAGACUCAACGCUGAGUAAACCUCCAGCCUCAACAACCUCUACAGUGCCAUUGUAAAAGACAUUCUGGUAUGGGUUCUGAUCAAUCUCAUACACUAUGUAACCAACUAGAUCAUAUGCUCCAGGCUGCAAGAACUUGCUCACGGCGAAUGUAUACGGAAAGGUUGCUUGUACAGAGACAGGAACUGAUGCAUUGAAGAAGUUCUGAACAGUAAGGUUUUGUCCAUACAUCUUAUGGUCAAAAGGAAGAUGGAGAGUUGAAUGGAUAGCAACAACAUUCAAACAUGAGUUACCCUCGUUUUGCAGGCCAACCAGUAGUUCAGUUUCUUCACCUGCUAGCACAAUUUUGCCAGCGUUUUUGGGAAAAACACAUACUGUCUCCACACCAGGAGCCGGACUUAGAGGCCCAUCGCUGGAAACUUGUGUAUCAUCACUGACGAUUCCUAGAUCAGCCCCAUCAACAACUUCAGCUGUAGCAGCUUCUUCCAUGGACUGAGCUCUGGCAACUGCAGGAAAAGGGGGCGGCGGCGAGGAGGAAGGCGAGGAGGAGGGCGGAGAGCCAAACCCUAGUCGCCGCCAUGGCUGGCUCUGGCUCAGAUCGGAUCGGGUCG